GCCUGGUUAGCUCAGUGGUAGAGCGUGUGGCUUUUACGGGGAAAUCAAAUCCCGGUGAUGAUCACCUCAACGUCGCGGGUUCGACCCCCGCAUCAGGCU